UUGAGCGCAGAUAUCCAUAAAAAAACAUACCUCAUUUAGGGUUUCUGCCACCAUCUACCUUCCUCUUCACCCCCUCACCUUCGAUUCCUCUUCCUCCUGCUUUUUUCCAUCUUUUUCUUCUUCUCAUUUCUCAUCCAAACCCUUUCAAUUCACACACACAUCUCCUUCUAAAUUUUCUAUAUCACUUCCAAUUCUAUAUUCUACAUCUUCGAUUAAUCCUUCUUCUUCUCACUGCUCUUGCACUUCUCAUCAUUAGGGUUUCCUGUACUUGAUUGCUGCUCUAUGCCUACCACCUCUUUUCUUAGCUCUUCGAUUCAAUAUGGUAUAUAUACAUGUACCCUUUUAUAUAUGUUGGUACAAACUUUCGUCAAAUCUUUUUAAAACCAACAUAAUUCUCAGAUUUUUUAUACUUGCAUGGACAUACAUAUAUAUACAUACAUGUAUACAUAUUUUGUACUCCUUGUUGCCAGUUCAGCUUUUUACCUUUUCCUUUUCCUAAGUUUUCUUUUAUUUCAAACUGGCCUUGUUUUGGGCCUACUGAAAUGCCUUUUCCAGUUACUUCUUCUGUUAGUUUUGUGUUAAUUAGUAAGCAGUUAAUCACUAACAUAACAGGCUUGCAAUUACAUUAGGUCAAUUUGGGUUCGGAUCAGCACAAAGGGUUUUCUAACUUGAGCAAACUGUAUAUUUUGUCAUCUGAUCUAUUAUUCAUUGAUUCAUAUAUCAGAAAAUCUGAACAUGUAUGCUUUAAAGUGAUCUGUUUAUACAAUUGCCCAUUUUAUCAUUCAUCUAACCCUUUAUAACCUCACUAUAUAUGUAUAUACAUACACAUAUAGGUUUGUUAAUUUCCUGAUAGGAAAGCACAUAGUACAUAGUGUGACAAUGUGUUUUUGUGAUACAAGAGGCAAUUGAUUAGCCUGGUUUUUGAGUAGCUAGAUUGUUUUAUUGGUUUGUGAAUUAUCUGUGUGGCAGCAAGAAUAUGAGGAAGGUGCAGUGUAGAUGUUGCUUGAAAGGCUGGGAAGGAAAUAAAAGGUGUAUGCAUUGAUGUAGAUGUGAAUGAGAGUACAGUAGCGGGAGAGAAAGAGAGUGAAGGAGCUUCCUUCAGCCCACGUAUGGGUAUGGGGGACUAAAGGGUUGCUCAAGUAUCUGCUGACUCAUUCAUACACACACAGUAGGGGUUUAUAUGAAACCAUUUUCUACUGUAAUUGUGUGAAUGAAGCAGGAGAUAUUUUGCAUCCCUCUUGCUCUGUGCUUGGACUGAAGGGGAGCUCCUUCUUUCUGUUGUCUCCAUCAUUGAUAUUAAUAUAUAUAUAUAUAUAUACAUGUAUGUAUAAACAUAUAACAUUAUAAUAUAUCUGUCUCCAACAACACCAAUUUCUUAGUAUUCAUCCAGUGGCACAAAAAGUUGCAGCCACAACUGUAGCUGAUGUAACAUAUCGUCUUCUAGGUCUUUGUAAGUAUUAACUCUUCCUCACUAGGCUGCCCAAGAUUCAGCCAACAUCUGCAACAGUGGCAUAUGAGUUUUAUAGCUGGAUGCCCCACCUAGUAGUACUUUUUCACUUCCCAGCAAAAUCAUCAUAUUACCACUUUCACAACUCCUCAUCAACAUUACAUUACAUGGAAGAGAAUCAGCACUGUACAUGCUACUUUCCUUUCCAGUUCUUCGACAUUACAACAUCGGCUUCUCUCUCAUUUCCCCUUGCUUUCCUUCAAUUCUUUUCUUGGUGGCUGAAAAAGCAAAGUUUAGGUGAUGAUGGGUCCAACAGUUCACAUGUUUGUAUUCGUUCCAAACAUUGCCUUCUUGAAGUUUCCUAAGAGUGGGACCGAGUGAAGUAUAAUAUUAAUUUAUAGAGAGAUAUGUGGAGAUUUAUACAAAUUCAGCAGACAGGAUAUUGAAGAAGAUUAUGAUGUCAGACAAAAGUAGUGACUGUAUAAAAUGAACUCUGAUCUUUUGGUUAUCCCUAUGACCUACUGCUACGUACAUGUAUUUUUGUGUAAAAGAAAAGAGAUAAACUUGUCAUAUCUUCUGCUACAUAAACUCAUCCAUUGGGAACCAUUUUUAUUGAUUUUUUUUCCGUUAUUUUUCUGUUAAAAAUAAUAUGUAAAGGCUAUUAUUUUUGUCAGCAUGUAAUUAAUUUUGAAGAUGUAAUUAAAGUUAAACAGAAAAUCUAAAUUCGAAAUAAGACAUUGGGCUUUUUUUGUCAGCAUGAA